rnacentral:rRNA from 1 species
AGUUUGAUCAUGGCUCAGANCCCUUUUUUNGCGGCGCGCCUAAUACAUGCAAGUCGAACGAGANAUGCCCUUCGGGGACGAGUAAAGUGGCGGACGGGUGAGGAACGCGUGGAUAACAUGCCCUUCAGCGGGGGAUAACUAUUCGAAAGAGUAGCUAAUACCGCAUAUGACUACGAAUCCUGCGGGUAACGUAGUAAAAGGCUUCGGCCACUGAAGGAUUGGUCCGCGUCCGAUUAGCUUGUUGGUGGGGUAAAGGCCUACCAAGGCUACGAUCGGUAGCUGGUCUGAGAGGAUGAUCAGCCACACUGGGACUGAGACACGGCCCAGACUCCUACGGGAGGCAGCAGUAGGGAAUAUUGCACAAUGGAGGAAACUCUGAUGCAGCGACGCCGCGUGAGCGAUGAAGGCCUUCGGGUUGUAAAGCUCUGUGAUAUGGGAAGAUAAUGACGGUACCAUAUCAGAAAGGACCGGCUAACUUCGUGCCAGCAGCCGCGGUAAUACGAGGGGUCCAAGCGUUGUUCGGAAUUACUGGGCGUAAAGCGGGUGUAGGCGGACUAGAUAGUCGGAUGUGAAAGUCCAGGGCUCAACCCUGGAAGUGCAUCCGAUACUACUAGUCUUGAAUACUGGAGAGGGAAGUGGAAUUCCUGGUGUAGCGGUGAAAUGCGUAGAUAUCAGGAGGAACAUCGGUGGCGAAGGCGGCUUCCUGGCCAUGUAUUGACGCUCAGACCCGAAAGCGUGGGUAGCAAACAGGAUUAGAUACCCUGGUAGUCCACGCCGUAAACUAUGGACACUUGGUGUCGGANGUAUUGACCCCUUCGGUGCCGUAGCUAACGCGUUAAGUGUCCCGCCUGGGGAGUACGGUCGCANGAUUAAAACUCAAAGAAAUUGACGGGGGCCCGCACAAGCGGUGGAGCAUGGGGUUUNAUUNCGAUGCAACGCGAAAAUACCUUACCUGGGUUUGAAUNGCAUGGACAGCUCUANAAAAGAGUCUUUCUUCNGAACUGUUGUGAANGUGCUGCAUGGCUG